AGAACGUGGGGCCAGAAAAAAGCACCGAGCUUGAGGGACUAGACUAAUCAAAAAAUGAAAUAACAUGGCAACAAUUACACUGAUGAGUGAGAGGGAGGCUACGGAUGCAUUCAGACACCUAUGGCUCCGCGGACUCCACGCAUUCAGCAUUCCGUGUUUAGUGUCUUGUGUUUUUGAGAGCAGGAUGACAAGACUGUCCAGUGACAAGUGUCUUCACUGUGCAAGCAACAGCUCAGUUCCUGUCAUUGCCUAUGCUCUCCUCCUGCCUGGACUCAUGUAAUCAUCCAUCCAUCCAUCAUUCAUUCAUUCAUUCAGCACGAUAUCGGUGAGUGUGUGCUGUAGGCUGGCAGUCACCUAAAGAUGUUGAGAACUAUAUGGCUUCUCUACAGAAUAUGAGAAAUGUAGCAGUGAAGGUGUUGAAAAGCCCUGAAAAAACGAGUCCCGAACUAUGCUGUGAAGUUUACAUGAGAUUGCCUGUGGGAAGCUUUUAACACAAUGCCUGGCACAUGGGUCUUUGGUGGUGUCAGAAACAUGAAUCACAGAAGAGCAUGUUCAAGCCAAUUGGUUCUUUGAGAUACCACAGCUCAAUAUCAUGAUACAUCAUGGUACCAUCUUUUGGCUCCACAGAAAAAGGAACUGUUGGGCCAGUGCCUACUGUGUGCUCUGAGCUCUGAGUUGAGGGAACUAAAGGAAAAGAGAGAGUUCAGUUGCUUCCAGCCAGUCAAGGAGGCUGUCCAAGUAAUGUGCAUGAGGAAGGAAUGCUGCCCAAAGGAACCAGUGGUGCAAGGGAGCGAAGCUGUCAUACACCAUCAUGGAAACAAGCAAAUCAUGGCUUCCAAAUCCUAAAGAAAUUUGCAUUCCAAAUCAACCACAAGAUAUCAGUGCUAGAAUGGUAACCUGAACCACCAAUGAAAAGUAAAGAAACUGA